GAUGAACGCUGGCGGCGUGCCUAAUACAUGCAAGUCGAGCGAACGGACGAGAAGCUUGAUUCUAUGAAGUUAGCGGCGGACGGGCGAGUAACACGUGGAUAACCUACCUAUAAGACUGGGAUAACUUCGGGAAACCGGAGCUAACACCGGAUGAUCUUUUGAACCGCAUGGUUCAAAAGUGAAAGACGGUCUUGCUGUCACUUAUAGAUGGAUCCGCGCUGCAUUAGCUAGUUGGUAAGGUAACGGCUUACCAAGGCAACGAUGCAUAGCCGACCGGAGAGGGUGAUCGGCCACACUGGAACUGGGACACGGUCCAGACUCCUACGGGAGGCAGCAGUAGGGAAUCUUCCGCAAUGGGCGAAAGCCUGACGGAGCAACGCCGCGGGAGUGAUGAAGGUCUUCGGAUCGUAAAACUCUGUUAUUAGGGAAGAACAUAUGUGUAAGUAACUGUGCACAUCUUGACGGUACCUAAUCAGAAAGCCACGGCUAACUACGUG
rnacentral:rRNA from 1 species